UAUUUUCAUUUUCAACUUCAUUCGUGACAAUUUUGGGCUUAUAAUUCACAUCCAACACAUGACGAUAUUGGAUAUCUACGACAGCGCUAGUCACAUCCACAUGGAAAAAUGGGUAUGUCGUAGAUAUAACAGGGUAAUACUCAUGGUGGGAAAACGUAGGAUCUUGACUAGGACGAUGACCUUCAACCUUUUUAUCUUUAUCAUCUGAAACAGAUAUAGUAUCGGAAUCUGCGCCAUCUUCUGAAACAAUUGCCGGAAUGCUACUUUCAAUGGCUUCUUCCUCGUCAAAUGGCCUAACACGAACCGAACUAGGCAUGACUAUUCGAGAGUUACCAGGCGCCAUUGGCGUUUCAAUGUCACGAAGUGGUGCAGCACUGCCAACUUCAAUCGAUCGAGAAGUGUAUUUUGUAGCGUCUCUUGCCUUGCCAAAGCCAGCCGCCACAAGAGUUCUCUUAAUCCAAUCAUUAUUAAUAUCUGUGAAAUGAAAUUCUACUUCAUCUCCGGCAUAAAUUUCAAGCUCUUUACGAGUAUCAACGAGAGCUUGAACACCAGUAGUAUCAAUAUGAUUGACAGCACUGAAAUCUAAAAUAAUGGCACGAAGUAAUGGCCGUGUAUCUUCGACUUCAGGUGCAUUUUUCUUCUUACGAGGAGCAGGGUCAUUCCAAGGUCGAUCACUGGCUUUUUUAUAUAUAUUAGCAUUACCACGACGAGUAACGGUCUUGGCUUUUGAAGUCAGCAUGGAAUUAACGUGGCCAGCGUUGGGAUAUGUGAAGCUUUCUUGCAAACGGAAGAUUAAAACGCCAGCAGGAGGAUCUCGGACGGUCAAAUUUGGGUUCAUGCCCUUUUGAUUUAAAGGAACGUAAAUAUCACGAACGACAUCAAUGCUGUUUUCAUCAUCGUCGAACUUGUUCGCAAUUUUUAGAAUACCUAAAAAGGAACCAGAAGGCUUGGCAAUACGAAACAAAAGCAAUGCGGCAGAAAGACAAACAGCAGUGUAAAUACCGUUCUCAAUGGAAGAGAAAACAGAUACAAAGACGGCACAAAUGAAAAUUAAUGCCUCAAGAGGUUGCAUACGCCAAAAAAGGAGAGUUUGUCGCCAAGGAAUGAUGAGAUCAAAAACAGAAUGGAUGAUGACGGCGGAUAAAACGGCAUUUGGAAUAUAAUAAAAGGCACCGGUUAAACAGUAUAAUGCAAGGACUACCACACCAGCAGUGAAAAUUCCUCCAAGAGGGGUGCGAACACCAGAUUUAGCGUUAAUGGCAGAUCGGGAGAAAGAACCAGUAGCGGGAUAGGCGUGAAAAAACACACCAAUCAAAUUAGUUGCACCCAUAGCGAUUAACUCUUGAUCAGGAAUAACUUUAUAGUCGUUAACACGACCAAAAGAUUUAGCAAUAGAAAUAUGUUCGAGCAAAAGAACGAUGACAGAGACAGGAAGUUCGCUAGCGAGGUCGGCACACAAUUUGCGAGAAAUUACGGGGACACCCAUAUCACGAAAGCCGCUAGGAACUGUGCCUAAAAUGGAAAUUGGAGGAUUCUCUCGUCUAUGUUUGCAAACACCAUAAGAAAUAGCCGUGCCGACAAUAAUGAUGACGGCACUACGAAGCACAUUGGUGAGGAAGAAAACACGUUGAAAUUUAGUAUACCUCUUAAUUAGAUGCUGGCAUGUAUAUCGUACAAGAUAAAGAAUAAAGAGACUUACUAGCCCAAAGGCAGCGUCUACCUUUGUGUGAGGAAGAUUUUGUAAUGUCUGAAUGAUGACACGGUAGGUUGCAGCAUUAGUAUGGACACGACUUUUAUAACCCAUCAAACUAGAAACCUGACCAGCCAUAAUAUUAAGGGCCGAUCCGGUGGUAAAGCCAGCAACAGCGGGAACAGGAAUGAACUCAAUGAUAAAACCAAGUCGUAAAAGACCUAAACCGCAAGUAAUGGCACCUGCUAGCAAUGCUAGUGUGGUACCAAUUUGAGCAGCAUCAUAGUUAGGAUCCUUUGCCUGUACAUUAGCAAUGACUUUGCUGGUAACUAAACUCAUGACAGCCACUGGACCAAUCGAGACAUCCUUGGAAGUAGCAAAAAUACAAUAGAUAGCAACACCGACAAAGGAGGAAUACAACCCGUAUUGCGCAGGCAAUGUAGCGACUUUGGCGUAAGACAUACCUUGAGGUACGACAACACAACCGACAGUGAUACCGGCGAUAAAGUCAUAGACAAGCCAAUUCCAGUUGUAUCGGGGUAACCAAUUCAUAAUGGGAAAUAGAGAUCGUAGGUAAUGAAGCAAACGUGUUCCAAAAUGACUAAAAAUAUUUUGUUUUAACCAACCAGGAACACUAGGGAGCGGCUCUACAUACUCACCUACGGAGAUGUCGUUAUUAGGAAGGGUGGAUAGAGAUUGAGAAGAAUCACCAUGCUUGGUUAAUUUGGAAGCAGUAUGACGGACGACACGGACAAUAGUGCCCUUUUUGCUGACGGUAUCUGAGUAAGUUGGUUCGGGAUAAACAGGGACGAAAUUAGAUGGUGGUGGAACAAGACCAGGCACACUGUCGGGAGCCUCAUCCUGAGGUAAAUCAGCAGGAUCCGCAAAGUAGUGUUUGAUUUUCUUGAUAAAAGACAUUUUUUAUGCGGAAGAAAGAGAGACAGAUGGACACAAAAAACGCGUUGAGAAUGGUCUU